UACGAAGGGGGCUAGCGUUGCUCGGAAUCACUGGGCGUAAAGGGUGCGUAGGCGGGUUUUUAAGUCAGAGGUGAAAUCCUGGAGCUCAACUCCAGAACUGCCUUUGAUACUGAAAGUCUUGAGUAUGGGAGAGGUGAGUGGAACUGCGAGUGUAGAGGUGAAAUUCGUAGAUAUUCGCAAGAACACCAGUGGCGGAAGGCGGCUCACUGGCCCAUAACUGACGCUGAGGCACGAAAGCGUGGGGAGCAAACAGGG
rnacentral:rRNA from 1 species